UACGAGGGAGGCUAGCGUUGCUCGGAAUUACUGGGCGUAAAGGGAGCGUAGGUGGACUGUUUAGUCAGAGGUGAAAGCCCAGGGCUCAACCUUGGAAUUGCCUUUGAUACUGGCAGUCUUGAGUACGGAAGAGGUAUGUGGAACUCCGAGUGUAGAGGUGAAAUUCGUAGAUAUUCGGAAGAACACCAGUGGCGAAGGCGACAUACUGGUCCGUUACUGACACUGAGGCUCGAAAGCGUGGGGAGCAAACAGG
rnacentral:rRNA from 1 species